rnacentral:lncRNA from 1 species
GUCUAAUGAUACCAGGUAAUGAUACGUUCAAGAUAAGACUUGCCGAAUUCAAAGUAAUCCACCCUUUCCAUUCUCAAGAUAAACACCCACAAACAUCAGCAUGCACAGGUCAAGGCCACUCGCACAGACAUCAGAGUUGUACAUAACGAGUCAUUAGGGGCUGGGAACCAAUUAAAUCUAUUUCCUUUAUUUCUUAUGGGAAAAACUGUUUCGGACAACGAACAUUUCGGAUAACGAACAACUUUCCAGAACGGAUUAUGUUCGUUAACCGAGGUUCCGCUGUAUUUGUGGUGUUCUCACGUGUGCCUGUCGUUUGUUUUGCACUGGAGAGCAAUGGGAUUCGUUGCUACACGCGACACUGACAAUUCACCAAUUUACCCUCUGGCAGUUUGCUCUUAAUGUGGCCCUUCAUUACAGACCAUGGAGACAUUUUGUUUGCACAACAGUCUGUCAACAAAAUAGUCCUUAGGUAUCUAUUUAUUAAGUGUACUUUGUUGGAACUGGCAAGAUUUUAUCCAGCCAGAAAACCGCAGGUUUAAUGAAAUGUAGAAAUCAUACAUGGUAUCUCUAUUUCCAGUCUCCUUAUAGCAUGGCUUGUUUUCAUAAACAUACUAGUAAUAUAGUCCGAGGGCCAGGGCCAUAGUUUUCUUUUGUUUUCGAAUAUCAUAACACUUUCAUUGUCUUCUUGUACCCCAAACCUUGCACCACCCCAUCACUUGUUGAAAUUGUGUCUUGUAGACUUCCCUGCAGUCUCUUACUACCAAAAUUAUUACUGAUCUGAGCAUAUGGCACACACUUGUUGCAGGACACAUCAUUAAAGCAAUCUGCUAGAACUCUAUUUUUAUUAAAUCACUUUAUUUGCAUUGACGUUCAUUUUCCAAUCACAGUAGGUGUACAGUUAAUGUAUUUGUAUACUCAUAUGUGUCAGUGUAUGCUGUCAUCAUUACAGUAUGGUAGGGAGCAAUUUUCAAGUCGUGCACUUGAAGAUCAAUUCACAGUUCCCUGUAGCUGACAGGUCUGCAUACUUCACAGUUUUGAAGGGAAUGGCAAUGAGGUAGGCACCAGCAAAAAUAGUUUUCAUGUUCACUGGUGUACUGUGACACCAUGUCACCUGGCUAUGCCACUGGUGUAUAGUGACAACAGAUCAUCUUGUUCUUUUGUUGGCGUACAGUGAUACCAUGUCCUCUUGCACUUGUAUUGGUAUAGUGAUACCUGUCAUCUUGUGUCAGUUAUUCACAGUGACACCAUGCCAUCUUGCAGUUUUUAUUAUGUACAGUGACACCAUGCUGUUGCCAUUGCAAAUCUCAUUGCGAUCUCAGCGUUAAAAUGUGUAUCGCCUGGAUCUUAAGCCAACAUUGAUGGAAAAACAACAGUCCCUUGCCCUGCACACUGACAAUUUUUACAGGUAGAACUGGUCGGUGGGGAAAGCGUUCCUAACCACACCAUCGGCAGUAUUCAGAUUGUCUAUCACGGGUCCAUUUUGACAUUUAUGUGUCGCGCAUCUUGUCUGGAACCUGAUGUGGACGCGAAAGCUCUUCUUUGCCCAUGGUGCCGUCCAAUUUAGCUCCAUUUUUCAGAAGUUAGUUGGCUUGACUAGAGUGUCACUGCACCCUGCUAGCUGCUACCCGUUUCACCAGUGCUCAGCUUACUGAUGAUAACAUGUGGAAGUUGUGCUGCUAUAAUCAGGUUUUUGUUUAGUUUUCUGUCGCCUGCAGUUUUUGCCCUGGAAAUGAAACUGGAAGCUACCGGCAGAGCGUCCUCAGCUUCCUACAUUGUCGUGUUUUUAGGAUAUCAACAUUCACGUGUAGUUUUGUUGCUGUUUAUCAUUCCUUUAUAUGAAAAUGAAAACAAACAAAGAAAAAUACAAACAAGUGUGUCGACAUGUUCUUCAGGCUCAUUAUCUACAUCAGAGGCGCUCCCGUUGCAUAACAGACUGCUUCUCGACGUCAAAACAACUCGAUGACUGAUUGUGUGUCGCCAUAAUCAAACUUUCUAUAACUUAUUGUGUCUAAACUCCUGGCUUUUCUACUAUAGUUUUCUAUAUUAUGCUGCAGUUGAGUUUCCAUCUCUUUUCAAUCUCCUUUUUAAUGCCCAGUGUCUCAGUUGAGUGGUUUCCAGGCUGAUCACCCAAGAUACACCUUUUAAAAGUUGCCUUGUAGCCAACAGUCUGUCCAGGAGGAUAAACUAGACUGUUUGAUGUCUGUGUGGAGAUAAAAAGUACCUCAAGCAAGUGGCGAGUAUGAUGUGUACAUACUGAACACGUUUGUAAAAUGCCAGCCACGGCUCACUUCAUGAUGCGACGAGAUGGGUUUUCUGGUGCAGACAAGGACAGCUAGACAGCCAACGACUUGUGACCGCCCCCUCAGCAGGGAACAACUUUCACACAGGUGAAGACAUCGCAUCAAUCUAUGCAAUCCCCGUGUUCCCUGAGGGCGCCAUCAUCUUUCUCUCGCCCUCCCCUCCCGUUGUGGGCCUGUGCGCGCGUAGUGGCUGUGCAACUUGCCCUCUGUUCAUGCUAAUAGCCAUUUUAUAUAGCUGUUUAGCAUAUUGUGUAUAUUUUGCCGGCCCUUCCCAUGGACCACAGUCCCUGCCGUACUGGGGAGGGCGGUGGAGUGCAGGUGUUGGGUGGGUGUAGAGAUGAUUAAUUGUCUUUUGUCUCUAGGACGCAGCGCUGUCUUGCUUGUGACAGACGGUAGCACGGUUAACAUGUUGACACAGCGGUUUGCCUGACGUAACAAUGGGAGGCGAGUGGAGAAAGCAGCUGAGUGUAGAAGUGUGUAGAUGUGUAGGUCACUACCACACUGACCAACUGGCGGCGUGAAGUGCUCGGCACUCCGCACGAAAUACACUCAGCCUCCCAUCGCAUCAUUCCUGCCGUAUGUCACCUGGACGGAGAGAAAACACAAGAGGUCCUCAGGUAGACGUCUAACGAAGCGGAACCGAAGCUGUUUGCAGACUGUCAGUGAUAGAGAAGCAGUCUGCCUGCGGUACUGACCGUCUGAGGCUGCGGAGAGCCGCGGUGAUGAGCGAGGGGAGACAAGCGUGUGAUGGGUCGGCCACGUGGCACGAGGGCAAUUCGGGGUGAGGUGGUGGGAGGGGUGGGGGAGGGAAGCGACAGUCGGUGAUGGACGGUGUUGACGGCAGCUGAUGUGAUGCGUGGUCCUUCACACACCUCGCCAGAGAUCGGCACCUACAGGCAGCGACACAGCAGUGGUCACAGGUUGAUGUGGACGUGACGAGCUGUCAGCAAGACAAUGAAACGAGAGUGAUAUUGGCUGCACCACCAAAGCAUAUCAUCGUGACAAACUGAAUACAAUUCCCUGGUAUAGAGUUAGCUCACAGUGUGGUUUGAACUGAGCACUGCUCGCAGUCUUUGUGACCUCGCGACCUGUGGCCCGUUAGCUGAACAGGAGAGUGGACGACUUGCAUGUCUCACCUCCCCCGUCCCCAUCUUUUGUCGCCCAUAGGUUGUGGCCUGGUUUUGAUACGGGCACUAUUGGACUAAACACUUGGAAACCUGGAUGUCGCUCCUCCUCCCCUGUCAUCACAAAUGAGUCAGUGAGCGCCUUAGUACCGCCUGUUAGGGAGACAAGCACUGUUGCUUGACUUCAUGGGCUUUCUUUUUAAAAAGUGAGGAGAAAGCCGUCUGCUACCUGCUCAUCACCACGAUUUGCUCGUGGCUCAGGCUUUACAGUAAUUCACGGAAAUAUUUCUCAUAUUUCUGCAGCGCAUUGUAUUCUAAUAAUUGCUACUGAGUGGACAUCAGCGACUAAGCACAAGCAUGGUGUUGAAGAUAACAGGUCUGUGCAUGGUGGCAGCACUAGAGUAAGCCGGGCUGUCAAGUGAUGGAAUGACGGUUGUGUGCGCUGGAGAAGUUGUCUCGUUAAUCUAUUGUCUUGGAGUGAUCAGUGCAUGACUUAAUCUGGGGUUUCUAUAAUCCUUAUAAAGUGGAUCAGCGUGGUGACCUUUCCAUCAUUCGCACAUCGUAACUGCACCUCUCCACCCUUACAUAUCCCCUCCGCGACACUCUUUCUUCACCUGUGGUGCGCACAUCAUCGCUUUCGUUGUUGCCCGAAGUAACCUAGAGGAGCUGUCACGUGAACUCAGCACCAUGGAGCUGCUGGGCAUGCUGCAGCACUUGGCCACGUGGAGGGCGUUGAGCGUGGUGGCUUUCCUUGACGUGGUCUUCAUCCUGCUGCAACUCAGCUCCCCUCCCACAGGCGUGCACCCUCUCUUCAUCCUCUUCUCUGGCAGCUCCGAUCACCUCGAUCCGCACCAGCGGCUGCUGCAAGAACUGCAGGUGGAGCGCCGCAAGGUGUUGAGCGACAUGCUGCACACGGCGCACACGCUGCGCAACGCCACGCGCACGCUGCAACUGAGUGAGGAGAUGCUGGCCGCCGUAGACUCCCGACUGCAGGCGUUUGAGAAUGCACUGCGCCACUACAGCGACCAGCAUCCCUAGCGCAGGCAUCAGCUUGGAGUGGUGGGUGAUGGGUUGGUGGGGAGUCUGGGGGAGGGGAUCUCGCUGUUGCAGUCAAGAAGCAAGUGCGUAGUCCGCACGCACGACCUUUUCAGACAGUGGCACAGAGGAGCGAACUGCACUUUUUCUUGUAACCGAGUGGAUGUUGGCCUUGAGUGUGCGGAGGAAAGGGAGGAGAAGGGGAGACCUGGUGUAAGGACUGAUUGAUGGCGGUACUCAAGAGCUGGACCUGCACACCUGGCAAGACAGCAGUGGGACACAAAGUCGAUUGUCUGUGAUAAGGUGACUCCAGCAACAAAUCUUCCGCCAUUAUGGUUACAGUCGUCAAGGGGAAUAAACGCAACGUUCAUUGACGGUGGCAGGGCUUCUGCUUAUUGUUGAAAAGCAUGAUACCUGCCUGUAAGCUUUUCAGGGAAAGUUUUUAUGUCUUGGUGCCUGCAAGCACUUUAAGCUGCAGUGUUACAUAAAGUUUAAUAGCGAACAGCUACUGUUACUGCUACUGUUGUUUGGUUUCUCUUUUGCGUUUUCUGUAUUUGUUUUAUUCAUCAUCGGUUUGUUGUUUAUUCUUCUGUAGUUCUCAUGUUGUUUGUUUUCCUGUCACUUGUAGGUUGCCCACGACUUGUUCUUAAGCACUAAGAGCAUGCUCUUUAGGAGUGUGAUGCACUAUACAAAUAUGAUAGCAACUUUUGGCUGGCAGUUUUGAAAUGCCAUGUCACUGUUAAAUAAGUCAUCACAAAACGAGGCAUAUCGUAACAUCCUCUAAAAAAGUUGACUUUUUCGUAAUUCGCUGGACUCGUGCUAUUUGCUACACAAUUUGGACUGCUAUUGCAUUAGCAUAGAUUGCAAAAGGUCAUGUGAUGACUAUAAUUGCAAUCUGGGUCUGUCAUGCUAAUGGGCCAUUGUAUCUCAAUUAGAUUCUCAGUAAUUCUCAGUAAGAACACUAUUUGCCCAGGUGAUAAAAAUCUAAAGUAAUAUUGGGACUGUGGAGGAAAUAAAAAGAUGCCUUAACGAUGUUGGACACGAGAAAGCAAGAGUUGAUUGCAGUAAAAUCAGACUAAACGUUCAAAAUAAUGAACAGUGUUGUUUGUGCAGACCACUUGACAAAUUUUCCACUGAUUGACUUUCUGGACAGUCUUGCAAAAGGUUGAGAAAUCUUACCAAAUAGUCGUACCCUUUGUUGAGAGAGUUAAUCAAUUUUACUGACCACAUGGGCUUAUUUUCCAAAUUCCAAAUCCAUGCUGAUUUUCAACAGCUGGUUAAGGUGACUGAUUUAUUUGCGUUUUAAGAAAAGCAAUCAUCUUCCGCAUGGUAGUCAUGAGAAAGUCUUUGUGAUGUUGCCUGUUUGUGUUGAUAUUUUUUCCGACCCUGUUAAAACUCAAGUGCAUUCCAUUUCUAAAUAUAUUACAGUUAAUGCAGACACUCCACCACUGCAAACACUGCAGUGCAUUAUCUACUCAGUGACAGCAAGGGCUGUUGUUGUCUGGAAAGUUAGUCGUAGGUGUAAUAACAAUGACUUCAUUGCUGUGAUGGGUAGUCAUGUGAUGUCAGUAUGCAUACUUGUAACUGCAUAGUUGGCAACCGUGCAUGGCACUGCAGUGGAGGUUAUGAAAGUGUAUGCUAAUUAUAAUGCUGAUGAGGACAAGUUCACUUUGCAGUGUUGUAAUAGUUUAUGAGCGCUAAUGGCCAAUAUUCACUUCAAAGCUUAACUUUAUCUUUUGAGAAUAAGUCUUAUUUUAGUGUGACAAAUUCUAUUGAUAUUUACCAUAUCUAAAUCUUGUACAACAUAUAAUGCAGUAACAGUAGUGUGUGACACAUUUAUUGUGUUCCAUUUCACUUUACCAUGAAGACAUUCUUCAUUCAAGAAAUUAAAGGACAAAAAAACAUA